rnacentral:rRNA from 1 species
AUUAGCUUGUUGGUGGGGUAAAGGCCUACCAAGGCGACGAUCAGUAGCGGGUCUGAGAGGAUGAUCCGCCACACUGGAACUGAGACACGGUCCAGACUCCUACGGGAGGCAGCAGUGUUUAAUUUUGGACAAUGGGGGCAACCCUGAUCCAGCCAUUCCGCGUGAGUGAAGAAGGCCUUCGGGUUGUAAAGCUCUUUCAGCUGGAACGAAACGGUAGUCUCUAACAUAGGCUGCUAAUGACGGUACCAGCAGAAGAAGCACCGGCUAACUACGUGCCAGCAGCCGCGGUAAUACGUAGGGUGCGAGCGUUAAUCGGAAUUACUGGGCGUAAAGCGUGCGCAGGCGGAUUGUUAAGCAAGAUGUGAAAUCCCCGGGCUUAACCUGGGAAUGGCAUUUUGAACUGGCAAUCUAGAGUGUGUCAGAGGGGGGUAGAAUUUCCACGUGUAGCAGUGAAAUGCGUAGAGAUGUGGAGGAAUACCGAUGGCGAAGGCAGCCCCCUGGGAUAACACUGACGCUCAUGUACGAAAGCGUGGGUAGCAAACAGGAUUAGAUACCCUGGUAGUCCACGCCCUAAACGAUGUCAACUGGUUGUUGGGAGAGUGAAAUCUCUUAGUAACGAAGCUAACGCGUGAAGUUGAUCGCCUGGGGAGUACGGUCGCAAGAUUAAAACUCAAAGGAAUUGACGGGGACCCGCACAAGCGGUGGAUGAUGUGGAUUAAUUCGAUGCAACGCGAAAAACCUUACCUACCCUUGACAUGUCCAGAAUCCUGCAGAGAUGCGGGAGUGCCCGAAAGGGAAUUGGAACACAGGUGCUGCAUGGCUGUCGUCAGCUCGUGUCGUGAGAUGUUGGGUUAAGUCCCGCAACGAGCGCAACCCUUAUCAUUAGUUGCUACGCAAGGGCACUCUAAUGAGACUGCCGGUGACAAACCGGAGGAAGGUGGGGAUGACGUCAAGUCCUCAUGGCCCUUAUGGGUAGGGCUUCACACGUCAUACAAUGGUCGGUACAGAGGGUUGCCAAGCCGCGAGGUGGAGCCAAUCCCAGAAAGCCGAUCGUAGUCCGGAUUGUUCUCUGCAACUCGAGAGCAUGAAGUCGGAAUCGCUAGUAAUCGCGGAUCAGCAUGUCGCGGUGAAUACGUUCCCGGGUCUUGUACACACCGCCCGUCACACCAUGGGAGUGGAAUCUGCCAGAAGUAGGUAGCCUAACCGCAAGGGGGGCGCUUACCCCGGUGGGUUUCAUGACUGGGGUGGAGUCGUAACAAGGUAGCCG